rnacentral:rRNA from 1 species
CACCUACGGGAGGCAGCAGUCGAGAAUAUUCGACAAUGGGCGAAAGCCUGAUCGAGCGACGCCGCGUGCUUGAUGAAGCCCUUCGGGGUGUAAAGAGCUUUUUCCGCUGAGGAAACCGUAAGGUUGACAGUAAGCGGAGAAUAAGGGGCUGCUAAUCACGUGCCAGCAGCCGCGGUAAUACGAGAGCCCCAAGCGUUAUCCGGAUUUAUUGGGCGUAAAGAGUCUGUAGGUGGUAUGGAAAGUCUUCGGUUAAAUACUUAGGGCUCAACCUUAAGGGUGCCGGAGAAACUUCCAAACUAGAGGGCGUUAAGGGCUGGUGGAACGGUCGGUGUAGGGGUGAAAUCCGUUGAUAUCGACCGGAACCCUAAAAGCGAAGGCAUCCAGCUGGGGCGACCCUGACACUGAGAGACGAAAGCGUGGGUAGCAAAAAGGAUUAGAUACCCUUGUAGUCCACGCUGUAAACGAUGGACACUGGCUAUUUGAAGUGUCGACCCUUCAAGUGGCGAAGCUAACGCGUUAAGUGUCCCGCCUGGGAAGUACGGCGGCAACGCUAAAACUCAAAGGAAUAGACGGGGAUUCACACAAGCGGUGGAG